GAUGAACGCUAGCGGCAGGCUUAACACAUGCAAGUCGAGGGGUAACAGGGAAAAGCUUGCUUUUUUGCUGACGACCGGCGCACGGGUGAGUAACGCGUAUAGAACCUACCUUUUACAGGGGAAUAGCCCAGAGAAAUUUGGAUUAAUGCCCUAUAGUAUUAUUGAGUGGCAUCAUUUAAUAAUUAAACAUUUAUGGGUAAAAGAUGGCUAUGCGUUCUAUUAGCUAGAUGGUAAGGUAACGGCUUACCAUGGCAACGAUAGAUAGGGGUCCUGAGAGGGAGAUCCCCCACACUGGUACUGAGACACGGACCAGACUCCUACGGGAGGCAGCAGUGAGGAAUAUUGGACAAUGGAGGCAACUCUGAUCCAGCCAUGCCGCGUGCAGGAAGACGGCCCUAUGGGUUGUAAACUGCUUUUAUACGGGAAGAAACCCAACUACGUGUAGUUGGCUGACGGUACCGUAAGAAUAAGCACCGGCUAACUCCGUGCCAGCAGCCGCGGUAAUACGGAGGGUGCAAGCGUUAUCCGGAAUCAUUGGGUUUAAAGGGUCCGUAGGCGGGCUAAUAAGUCAGGGGUGAAAUCCAACAGCUUAACUGUUGAACUGCCUUUGAUACUGUUAGUCUUGAAUUAUAUGGAAGUAGAUAGAAUGUGUAGUGUAGCGGUGAAAUGCUUAGAGAUUACACAGAAUACCGA
rnacentral:rRNA from 1 species